CAUGCCUCAACCUCCCAAGUAGCUGGGAUUAUGUAGAUUUCAAGUGCUUUACUUUUAUGUGGCAGGUAUACGUUUCAAUGCCAUCAUUUGCUAUUUGUCGAGUGGCUAGAUUACUACUGGCUCUUUUUGGGUAGAGAUUAAUGGAGUAAGAGAUACACUUUUUCUGAACUUUUGAUGUUGUCAUGGGUUGUAGAGAAAAAGAGGGAGCAAAUAUGUGUAUGCAAGGUUGCUUUUAAUUCAAAACAAUCUUGGGGAAUCAUUGGCUCCUUGAGAAACAUUAGAGUAAAGAAAUGGUUCCUGGUACACACUGGAUAAGAGAUGGGAUAAAUGGGUUUAAUGCUUCCUGCAUGGGCAAAAAGGGCUCCCAGAGUCUUGUGUGGACUCUGGGAUGCAGGAUGAGGUGUUGUUUAGCAGUUGAGGAAGUAAAAAUUGUGGCAGACACUCCACGACAUAAAGAAUCCAAGAUAGUACUGAUAGGUCAGUGUUUAGGAGGCUAGAAAAAGUGGAAAUCAGACAGGCUUAUUCUUCAAUAACAUUGCCAGCCAACUUCAUGACUGAGUCUAGCCUGGAUGACCUCCAAAUAUUCUCUUCUGAGAGUCCAGGAUUAUGAAACAACAAACAAAAUGGGGAUAAAAAAUACCAAAUUAAAAUAAUUAUGGAAAA
rnacentral:lncRNA from 1 species